GCCCCGUUAGCUCAGUUGGUAGAGCAGUUGCCUCUUAAGCAAACGGUCGUAGGUUCGAGUCCUACACGGGGCACCA
rnacentral:tRNA from 1 species